CCUGAAAAUAUAAAAAGAGAGCAAUGAGUGAUCUGUGUUCACAUAGGGGAUAGACUCUUCCCCAGAGUAUGCUUUGUUCACUGUAAGCCACAUCCUUAUUUCUGCAUAAGCAGGGAAGUUGGGCCACACAAAUACCUUCAGUGAAGCCAGGUAGAGCAUGUGACUGCAGGCAAACAGAACACUGAUCUGGACACCGAGAAGCCUCUACUUGGGGUCCUCAAGAGGACAUGUAGAAUUUGCUUUUUCUCUGCUAUGAAGGUUUAAAAGUAGCAAGACUGGCUAUGAAGAUUCUGAAGUAGCAGAUAUAUUUUUAUCAUCAGAUAUAUGGAUAUAUUAUCAGCUAUCCCGUGCCGGGGACCAGCCCCACAUUAGUCUUCUUUCUCCUGUUGGUUCUUCUUGAAGCAGCGGAGGGGGAAGAGCAUCUGUGGAGGGUAAGACUUAGUCUUAGGAGAUAUUUAGGGUUGCUGUAUAAUAAUAAGUUUACUUAUCUAAGUCUAAGUUACUAUGUUACUAUAACUGAUUUACUUAUCUAUGUCUAAGUCCCUAUGUUCUGCUACUGGUACUGACCUACUUUCUGUGUUCCUCUGAGGCCAGAAACUGCAGGCUCUGGCAUUUAGCACCUCAUUCUAAAA
rnacentral:sRNA from 1 species